rnacentral:lncRNA from 1 species
CUACGAUAGUAGAGGGGCAUUAUGUUUUCUGGUCUGUGCGUCCGUCUGUCUGUUCGUCCGUCCGUCUGUUCGUUCGUCCGUCCGUCUGUCCCGUUUCAGGUUAAAGUUUUUGGUCAAGGUAGUUUUUGAUGAAGUUUAAGUCCAAUCGACUUCAAACUUAGUAUACAUGUCCCCUAUGAUAUGAUCUUUCUAAUUUUAAUGCCAAAUUAAAGUUUUGACCCCAAUUUUACGGUUCACUGAACAUAGAAAAUGAUAGUGCAAAUUUCAGGUUAAAGUUUUUGGCUUCAGGUUAAAGUUUUUGGUCAAGGUAGUUUUGAUGAAGUUGAAGUCCAAUCAACUUGAAACUUAGUAUACAUGUGCCCUAUGAUAUGAUCUUUCUAAUUUAAAUGCCAAAUUAGAGUUUUGACCC